GCAGGUGUAGUUUAGUGGUAAAACUACAGCCUUCCAAGCUGUUGUCGCGAGUUCGAUUCUCGUCACCCGCU
rnacentral:tRNA from 1 species